rnacentral:tmRNA from 1 species
GGGGACGACAGGUUUCGACAACAGCGGAGGGUCGGGGGGAGCGUGCCGAGGAUGGGGAAACCUCGUAAAUCCGGCUCCAAAACAAUAAUUGUCGAAGACAAUUACGCACUCGCUGCUUAAUUAAGCAGCGCGCUCUCCGGCGCUUCCGCCGUCGGGUACCGGAAGGGCGUCACAAAGACGGCUGGGGCCGCAGCAGAGCCCUUCGGCUGCCGUCCGAGAUACAGGAGGGGAUUGGGAAAGCGUAUCCUGCCUGUGGGAGCCGCAGCCCUGAAAUUUAAAAUGUAGGCUACGCACGUAGCGCCCUCCAGAUUGUCUUCUGUUGGACCGGGGUUCGAUUCCCCGCGUCUCCACCA